rnacentral:lncRNA from 13 species
AUGUUCCGGUUUGCACAGCCGAGUUUAGGCAGGAAACGUGUUCAAUUUCUCCUGGAGAGUUGGGGGCAGGGCGGGGAAGACGGAUGCCUGACCCGGCGGGAGGCGGUCCCCUCUGGCAGGGGUGCCCGGUGCGGCGCCCGAAGCCUUGCGGCCCUUCUUCCAACAUACCAUGAAGAAAUCUGCCAUUUUAAAGUAAAUUUUUUGCUUAAAGAGAAUGAUCACACUAAGUUCCAGUGUGUUAUUUUUAAAAAUUGCCGUCUAAAUUAUCAGUACACUAGUAUCCUGACUGGUCUCCCUGUCUCCAGCCUCAUUCCUCUUGUCUAAACAGCAGCCACCAGGACCCAGCUCUGGAAAUUGGGUGUGGGAUAAUUCAAUAUGGCUCAGCGAGCUCCACGGAAGGCCAUGGGGAAAGGUCUCACCUUGGACAUACCUUUCUCACUCCUCAGAGAUCAGUUCUUCAAAGAUGCCAGGCGAGCACUUUUCUAAGUGUCAGUGUAACUAUUCGUAUUUCAAUUUAUUGCACAAGUGAAAUACUAAUACUGUAGAAAAGCAAAACAAAAAAGAAAAAAAAAUCACCCUUAGCCUUACUAUCCCAAAAUAACCACUGUUAACAUUUUAAUAAAUAACCCACUUGAAAAGCA